rnacentral:rRNA from 1 species
ACAUCUAAGUACCCGGAGGAAAAGAAAUCAAAACGAGAUACCCUAAGUAGCGGCGAGCGAACAGGGCAGACGCCCAAACCAGGAGGAGAAAUCCGCCUGGGGUUGAGGAGUAACCAUAAAAUAAGUAAAGACUAGCCGAAUUUGUCUGGGAAGGCAAGUCGCAGAAGGUAAAAACCCUGUAGGCGAAAGUUUUAAACUUAAAGGUUACAUCCAGAGUACCACGAGACACGUGAAACCUCGUGGGAAGCAGGGGGGACCACCCUCCAAGGCAAAACACUUUUGACGAGCGAUAGCGCAUAGUACCGUGAGGGAAAGGUGAAAAGCACCCCGGGAGGGGAGUGAAAGAGAACCUGAAACCGUAUGUCUACAAGCAGUUGAAGGACUAUUUAAACUUUGGUUUAAAGUCCGACAGCGUGCCUAUUGAAGAAUGAACCGACGAGUUACAGUUACUAGCAAGGUUAAGAAGAACAUUCGGAGCCGAAGCGAAAGCGAGUCUUAAAAGGGCGCGGUGGUCUGCCUGCUGUGAAACUUAGGUUGAAUUGCGUGAGGUUUUUUCGUAAGGCGAGGCGGAGCGCCGCAGGAAUAGUGGUGCUAUUUCAAGACGCGACAACGAAGCAUUACGAAAAAAACUUAGCAAGAACCCUGAGUUUUAGAGCAGGCAGACCACAGAGUUAGUAGUUGUAGACCCGAAACCGCAGUGAUCUAUCCAUGGCCAGAGUGAAGCGCAGGUAAAAUUGCGUGGAGGCUCGAACCCGUGAGCGUUGAAAAGCUUUGGGAUGAGUUGUGGAUAGGGGUGAAAUGCCAAUCGAACGCGGAGAUAGCUGGUUCUCCCCGAAAUAGCUUUAGGGCUAGCCUCGAGGAUUGUAAGUACAGACGGUAGAGCACUGAUAGGGCUAGGGGCCAUUGCGGUUACCGAACUCAGUCAAACUACGAAUGGAAGUACUUUUACCUCGGGAGUCAGACUGCGAGUGAUAAGACCCGUAGUCAAAAGGGAAACAGCCCAGACCAACAGCUAAGGUCCCCAAUGUCAUGCUAAGUGGAAAAGGAUGUGGCGACGCAAAAACAACCAGGAUGUUGGCUUAGAAGCAGCCACCAUUAAAAGAGUGCGUAAUAGCUCACUGGUCGAGUAUCGCUGCGCCGAAGAUGACCGGGGCUAAAGCACGGAACCGAAGCUAUGGCAUCCUUAAAGGAUGGGUAGGGGAGCGUUCUAUAUUUGAAGAAGCAGUACCGCAAGGAGCUGUGGAGGAUAUAGAAGUGAGAAUGUCGGUAUGAGUAGCGAAAAGGAAGGUGAGAAUCCUUCCCACCGAAAGCCUAAGGUUUCCUGAGGAAGGCUCGUCCGCUCAGGGUAAGUCGGGGCCUAAGCCGAGGCUUGAUGCGUAGGCGAUGGACAACCGGUUGAAAUUCCGGUACCGUUAAGAGUCGUUUGAGCAAUGGAGUGACACAGGAGGGCAGGUAAUCGCGAGGAUGGAAAUUCGCGUCUAAGCCUGUAGGGUGAAUGUGAGGCAAAUCCCGCAUUCGUGAAGCCUGAGAGGUGAUGGGGAGCUUUUAGCGAUAAAAGUGAACUUAUUGAUCCCAAACUGUCAAGAAAAACUUCUAGCGAGACAAUUGGCGCCCGUACCGUAAACCGACACAGGUAGGCGAGGAGAGAAUCCUAAGGUGCGCGGGAAAACCCUCGUUAAGGAACUCGGCAAAAUGUCCCCGUAACUUAGGAAAAAGGGGAGCCUGUCUGGUGAGAGCUUGAAACGGCUUAAGCUAAGAGAGGUUGCAAAAAAGAGGCCCAAGCGACUGUUUAGCACAAACACAGGUGCCUGCGAAAGCGAAAGCUUAAGUAUAGGCGCUGACACCUGCCCGGUGCUGGAAGGUUAAGAGGAGGGCUUAUUGUGUUGAAAGACAUGAGAAGGUCAGAAUUGAAGCCCCAGUAAACGGCGGCCGUAACUAUAACGGUCCUAAGGUAGCGAAAUUCCUUGUCGGGUAAGUUCCGACCCGCACGAAAGGUGUAACGAUCUGGGCGCUGUCUCA